AGCUGGAGAUAGAGUAGAUGUUGUUCAAUUCUAUGGAAAGCACUGUCUCUGGAUUUUGAGCAAUGGAAGAACUGUAUGCGGUAGUGAUUCUGUUUGGAAGGCCUUGAUUUUUUAUGCCAAAAGUUGUGAAUGCUUCUUUAAUGCUGAUCAACACAAUGAUUUGGCAAAGCCAUGGUAGACGUAAAGAAAAUGUUGGACCAAUUUCAUGAGUUGCCCAAUGCCAACAACAUAAUUUUCAAAAACGCUAGAUGCAAGGUGCUUUUUAGUAUUAACUUUUUGAAGUUAUUCAAGAAUCUGAUGUGGCCUGUUUGGAGAACUUAGCACUCAGCACUAGAUCUUCUACUGAAGCAGUCAUCUGGCUAAAGACCCAAGAAGCGCGGUGUAGGGAGAAGUUGGUAUUAGCUCUUGACUACUCUUGAAGAAACUUAAGGUUAAAUCUCAUUGUUUGCACAAGAGACUAUUGCAAAGAAUAUGAGAUAAUGUUAAAGGUCUGAGAUGUAUUGCCUCUAAAGGAUAUCCCAAAGUUGGAAUAUCUCUUAGAUACACACAUAAAAUCAUUUUUGUUGAUC